rnacentral:rRNA from 1 species
AUUGAACGCUGGCGGCAUGCCUUACACAUGCAAGUCGAAUGGUAGAGGGGGCAACCCCUUGAGAGUGGCGAACGGGUGAGUAAUGCAUCGGAACGUGCCCAGUAGUGGGGGAUAGCCCGGCGAAAGCAGGAUUAAUACCGCAUACGACCUACGGGUGCAAGCGGGGGACCUUCGGGCCUCGCGCUAUUGGAGCGGCCGAUGUCAGAUUAGCUAGUUGGUGGGGUAAAGGCCCACCAAGGCGACGAUCUGUAGCUGGUCUGCGAGGACGACCAGCCACACUGGGACUGAGACACGGCCCAGACUCCUACGGGAGGCAGCAGUGGGGAAUUUUGGACAAUGGACGCAAGUCGGAUCCAGCCAUGCCGCGUGCAGGAAGAAGGCCUUCGGGUUGUAAACUGCUUUUGUCAGGGAAGAAAUCUUCUGGGACAAUACCCCGGAAGGAUGACGGUACCUGAAGAAUAAGCACCGGCUAACUCCGUGCCAGCAGCCGCCGUAACAC